CGUUGAUUAGAUGUUAUUUACUCUGCAGCUCUAUUGUUGACUUGGUGAUGAGGGACUAUAUUAAAAUUGAUUGCAUUUACUAAAUAAGUAAUACACCGUCUGAUUUAAAGUAGCACAGCCUAAUUAGAAGUUUUCUUAAAUUUCUCAUAGCUUGUACGUUUCAGAGUGUAGGGUAUAAUAAUUAAGUAAUUGUUGGUCAGUUUUUAGAUUCCUAAACCUUUCAUUUAACUUUGAGAAUCAUUUGAGUAAUACAAUUGUUUGUGCAAAUUGCAUUUCAAUAUGAUUUAAAGCAAUGUAAAAACUAUCAUGGGUCCUAUGCCUGAUGUUUCGUAUCUGUCUUAAGUUGAAAACUAGAGGUAUACGAUUGAUACCUAGUGUUGGAUGCCUUUAAGGAAAGACUUAUGUUAAGAAGUGAAGCGAGCUCUAGACGAGGAGCUCUCAUUCCUCUUUAAUUUUGUUUUCCUAAAGAGGACUUAUCAAGUUGUACUGUGCUGAGUGCAAAACAAUAUUUUCCUAUUUCUAAUCUUUCCUGGUCUAAUAGUAUAUCAGCAGGAUUAGACAUUAGAAUAGCAUGUAUCUAAUGUCAAUGAAAAAUGAAAUCUAUGUGGACUCUUUAGUUUAAUCCUAUCUCCAUAGCUGCUUGAAUAUCUCUAGCAAGGACUUACUCCACCCACUUUGCAGCGAUUACAUCCUCAAUUCGAAAACAAAAGCAAAAUUAGUAUUUAGCUGUUCUUGUCGUUAAAGAUAAAUUUGAGGAUAUGGUAGUAUUCGGAGAUAGAUCAAUCUCAUACACAUAAAUAGUAAAAUUGUUAGAGUUUGUGUUUUUAGUGUUUUUUUUACAAAACGGUUUGUUGUUAGUUUUCAAUAUUAACAUGAUUAGUAUGCGUUUAUGUACAUUAUACAAACUACAUUAUGUAAAAGAACUGAAAAUUGGCAAAUGGGCUGUGUGUGAUUGAGUUAUUCCAUUUCCUAUCUGUGGUCUUACAUUUCACGCAUGUGAGAUUGAUCAAUCUUGGAUAUUAACAUAGACUUUCACUGGAAAUAAUAGUCAUAUAAACUAAUUGGGGUGUUUAGAAAAAUCUGUCAAUUUUUCUUAAGAUGGUUUUGGUUUAUGAAUGAUUUCCUGUAACACAUUACCCGUUCUGAUUCUGAGCAUGAAGCAAAGUGGUUGUGCGUCAAAGAGACCAGCUAUAGUUUUCCUGCACAGCACGCACAAGUGCAAAGAAUGGUUACGGCCUUUGCUUGAGGCAUACGCCUCACGCGGAUAUAUUGCUGUUGCUAUUGAUUCACGUUAUCAUGGUGAACGCACAUAUAGUCUAACUAUAUAAUUCCCCCCCUCCAGGUUGCAUUGCACAUUGAGUACCACCACAAUAUGUUGACAUCACACCAGAAAGGGAACCCAAAGGAAGUAAUUGUUGGAUGGUAUUCAACCGGAUUUGGUGUUACGAGAGGUUCUGCUUUGAUCCAUGAAUUCUACUCCAGAGAGGUUGCAAAUCCUUUCCAUGUACCAGUGGACACUACAUUCAGAAAUGGAGAGGCAACCAUAAAAGCCUUUGUCUCUGUUAAUUUAUCUCUUGGAGACCAGUCACUUGCUGCUCAAUUUCAGAAAAUUCCUGCAGAACUUCGAAUGUCAGAAGCAGAGAGGGUUGAAUGUUAGAUUGUUGCAUCUACAUGGGUCUUAUCAACUUGAUCAACUCAUCAUGUGUGAGGUCUAUACUCUGAGGAAUGCGCCUUAUGCUAGUGAGGAAAUUGAUGUGGUUCAUGAGCAAUGGGCUAGUUUUUUACCAGCAAAUAUUUAUUAUUGGCCUGAGCGCGCUUGAUCGAGUUGGUUUAGAAGUUAUAGAACAAUCUUUUAUAUUAAAAUUUAUGCGUACGUUGAAAUUGGAACAUAUAUUUUAAUGUACGUGCACUUUGGUUUCAUGUAUACAAAACAACAAUUAUUGUUUUUAUAUUUGUUAUACAGGUUGCGAUAUU